AGUAAGCAACUUAAUACAGAGGAAGUCAGGAAACGGAAGUUAACCACAAACAUUGCUAAGCUCGUCUUUUAACAAUAACAUUCGCUAUGAUUCAACCGAAUAUUUUUCUCAAUGCUUGAAAUCCUCUAGAGCAACAACUUUUGUCAGAUAUGCGCACCCUUCAAGUGAUUGUUCGUCGUCAAAGGGAAACAUGCGAAUUUUGGUGUGGGAAGACAAAGACUGGACGUCUGACAACAGGCCAUCUAAACUUUAAUUCUCCAAGUUGGACUUUCCUGAGCAGAAAUUACAAGAAAUUUUGAGUAUCUGAGAGUGCAAUACGACGACGUCGACGUUAAUUUUACUUUGUCUCCGCUAUUUACGAACAGGGAAUCACUCAAUCACAUUCUACGAUAAGGGACAAUGAUCUUGAUCUACUUGUUCGUGGUAUCUCACAAGUAUCACCCAGGAUCAUCAGGCUAUAGAUUAGUACAAGAAUAUUUAUCUCGUAAACAUCCAGACGGCGAGCAAGAUAUUCGGUUGAAUCAUAAUAUAAUAUAAUAAUGUAAUUGUUACUGUAAAAGACGAGGUCAGCAAUGUUUAUAAAGAGAGAAAUAAUUCGUCAGUUUCGAAAUCUUUAACUUUUUAAUAUCGACAUACGUAAAUAUCUCAGCGCGUGUUCACCCCCCUUUAAAACAAAGAAUACCAUUCGCUGGCUUCUUGGUUAACUUCCGUUUCCUGACUUCCUCUGUAUUAAGUUGCUUACUUCCGUUUCCUUUCGAUUUAUAUUUUUGACUUUUCGAUUUAUUUUUAUGAGCCGCGGCUUUGACUUAUCAUUUGGGAGUUUCGUAUUAUAAAUAAAAGUUUCGACUUGCGUUUAAUUUUCAUGUAUAUCCUUAGAGGUUUGAAAUGUAUUUUGCAGUUUUGAAGUAUAUGCUUUAAACUUUCGUUUUAUUUUUUUGAGUUUGAACUUCAUCUUGAUAUUUUCAACAUUGUAUUGAGAGUUAUAACAUGUUGAUAUAAUGUUUGACUAUUACUUGUUGACUUGAAAUAAUUUUGACCGGAACGGAACGCCAUAUCGAGCUUUGAGCUGCCAUAUUUGAAAACAUUUCUAGCAGAUUUUCUAGUCUAUUUGCGAUUCUGUGCAAUGAAAUGGAGAUAGGAAAGAGAACUAGAAUAAGCGACAACCAGAGAGAUAUUUUGGAAAGGUUUUACGGCCGUAGAAUGGUCGGUGUUGGUCUAAAUUAUCGCGAAAUGAUCGAAAGCGCUUGAGCAGAAACUGGCUUAACAACGACUCAAGUUAUAAAGGUAAAUAUAGAUAUCAUAGUGAUGUUAAUGUUGACUAUUUACUAUUAAAGACACUAGACGACAUACAAAAAUAUACUAAUAUAAACUAGUAUCAGGCCUUGCUUGGAUGAAAACCAAGAUACUUGAUCAAUAGUGCAGCUACUGUGCAUUCAAGGCACUAUUUUCUAUGCACCUACUUAAGCGAGAGUCUACUUCGUAUAUUGUUAUUACAUGCCUAGUUGACAGUCUGAACUUACUGUAACAUGCAUGUUUCCCCAUUGAUGAGUGAAAUUGUCUGGCGUUAGACAAGUAAAAAAAUAGGGUCACUGGGGCACAUUACGUCUCAAUGGGUUUAAUGCACCUAUCGAUUUUAAGCCCCCAAGGGGGGGGGGGUGGUCGGGCAUAGGUGGGACAUUUGAUUUUUUGAGCAAAUUUCCAAUCAAAUGCCCCACCGUCGGGCAAUAAAUAUUGGUCAAAUGCCCCACCAUCUUGCAAUAAAUACUAUGUUAAUAACAGUCAUUCAGUUCAAAUUGCCCCAACUUGGGGCCAAAAUGCUAAUCAAAAUCCCCAGGGUGGGGAUGGAAUUGACAAUCAAAUACCCCACAUAUGUCCGACCCCCCCCCCCCUCUGGGGCUUAACAUUGAUAGGUGCAUAAUAACUAGAGACAUUGUCAGAUUUUUUGGUUUUAAACCCUUAAAGUGCAGAGCUUCCACAUUGGCAGUAGACAAUCAAAAAAAGUAGGAUGCACUGGGACGCAUUGCGGCUUAAUGAGUUAAUAGGCAUGCACACACGAUCAAGCGCCUUCCUAGGCUAGACCUGUAGGGGUGCACCAGAAACCUUUUUUUAAGUUUCGGCUGGAACUGGAUCUGGCCGGAACUGGAAGAAAGUUCCAGCUGGAACUGAGUCAUAUGGUCAUAUGUUACUUUGUCUGCUGCCAGACAGUCAGACACUUUCAGUCAUGAAACAGAGAGUAUGCAAAUGUUGGAAUAAAAAGACUGACUAUUGUUAAACAACAUAAUGAAGUGUAAAUAUCCAUGUGUUUGAGUCAAAAUAGUAUAAACAAUCGAGCCAUUUUACAGUCGAUUGAAACCAUUGUUUUACCUUAAAUAAAUUGAAAGCUCAAACCUAGCUUAUAUAUCAAACAUAUCCGACUGGAUAUUCUGGCCGGAUAGCAAAAAGCUCUACCUGGUUCAGUGGUUCACCCUAGGCUUACUAACAUUGUCUUGGUGAAGUAAUAAAAUGCAAAUAUUCAGCCAUGAAAUAUAACCAUGUGGUGAUUCAUCAGUUUUGUAUUCUGCUCUUUUAUGCUACAUAUCUAAUAACAAAGUGAUAAAGUAAGAGAAAAGAGAAAAUCACUCUGCAUUGAUAUUGUGUGCUUCAGGAAAUAUAUCUUCAAAAAUGAUAGAACUCUGGCUAGGGCUCCUGUGCAACUAACACUAAACCACAUCAUGUUGCAUGUUUUAUUUCUUUAAGAAAGUCUCUGACCGUGCCUUUUUGUCGCCACCAUGACCAUGCACAUCAAUGCUUUUUGUUUUGCUAAACAGUGUUUUCUUGUAUAUAAAUAUAUAGGAUCCUUGUUAAUAAGAUACAAUAGAGGUUGAGCAAUUGUUCAUAUAACUCAUAAAAGGAUCAUAUGGGGGGGGGGAAUUUGGCAUGUUGCAUUUGUCAAAUCGUCGGAAUGAGCUUGGUGACCUCAACUUUUUUGUCUGUUUUUAUUAUGAGGAUAUCAUAAACUUCACCCCUGGGAAGUUUCCGCAAAUUCUCAUUCCCAGAACAAUAUUGAUGAAUCACCUAGAAUCUUAUUUUUAUAAUGUCCUUUAGAUGAGUGCAAAGAUUUGAUGUUGAUUGAGAAAAACCAGUUGGCUUCUGCAGCAUGGAAGCUCACAGGUGAAGAUGAGAAGCAAGUGUUCAAGAG